rnacentral:rRNA from 1 species
CACUAGGGCCAUACCACCCAGAAUGUGCCUAGGCUGGUCUUUUCUGAUCUUAGAAGCUAAGCAGGGUUGGAUCUGGUUAGCACUUGAAUAGGAGACCCCCUGGGAAUACUAGGUGUGGUAGGCU